rnacentral:rRNA from 1 species
UACGGUAGGGUGCGAGCGUUAAUCGGAAUUACUGGGCGUAAAGCGUGCGCAGGCGGUUUUGUAAGCCAGAUGUGAAAUCCCCGGGCUUAACCUGGGAAUGGCAUUUGGGACUGCAAGGCUGGAGUGCGGCAGAGGAGACUGGAAUUCCUGGUGUAGCAGUGAAAUGCGUAGAUAUCAGGAGGAACACCGAUGGCGAAGGCGGGUCUCUGGGCCGAUACUGACGCUCAUGCACGAAAGCGUGGGGAGCAAACAGG